GAUGAAGAACGCAGCGAAAUGUGAUAAGUAGUGUGAAUUGCAGAAUUCAGUGAAUCAUCGAAUCUUUGAACGCACAUUGCGCCCCUUGGUAUUCCAUGGGGCAUGCCUGUUCGAGCGUCAUUUGUACCUUCAAGCUUUGCUUGGUGUUGGGUGUUUGUCCUGAGGGACUCGCCUUAAAGUAAUUGGCAGCCAGUGUUUGGUUUUGAAGCGCAGCACAAGUCGCGAUUCAAAGCUAUACGCCCGCUUCCACAAGCCUUUUUCACUUUUGACCUCGGAUCAGGAAGGGAUACCCGCUGAACUUAAGCAUAUCAAUAAGCGGAGGA
rnacentral:misc_RNA from 1 species